rnacentral:rRNA from 1 species
CCUACGGGAGGCAGCAGUGGGGAAUUUUGGACAAUGGGCGCAAGCCUGAUCCAGCAAUGCCGCGUGAGUGAAGAAGGCCUUCGGGUUGUAAAGCUCUUUUGUCAGGGAAGAAAAGGGUCUGGCUAAUAUCUAGGCCUCAUGACGGUACCUGAAGAAUAAGCACCGGCUAACUACGUGCCAGCAGCCGCGGUAAUACGUAGGGUGCAAGCGUUAAUCGGAAUUACUGGGCGUAAAGCGUGCGCAGGCGGUUUUGAAGACUGUCGUGAAAUCCCCGGGCUCAACCUGGGAAUGGCGAUGGUGACUGCAAGGCUAGAGUUUGGCAGAGGGGGGUAGAAUUCCACGUGUAGCAGUGAAAUGCGUAGAUAUGUGGAGGAACACCGAUGGCGAAGGCAGCCCCCUGGGUCAAAACUGAACGCUCAUGCACGAAAGCGUGGGGAGCAAACAGGAUUAGAUACCCUGGUAGUCCACGCCCUAAACGAUGUCUACUAGUUGUCGGGUCUUAAUUGACUUGGUAACGCAGCUAACGCGUGAAGUAGACCGCCUGGGGAGUACGGUCGCAAGAUUAAAACUCAAAAGGAAUUGACGG